UACGUAGGGGGCAAGCGUUGUCCGGAUUCAUUGGGCGUAAAGAGCGUGUAGGCGGCCAGGUAGGUCGGUUGUGAAAACUGGAGGCUCAACCUUCAGAGGUCGACCGAAACCAUCUGGCUAGAGUCCGGGAGAGGAGAGUGGAAUUCCGUGGUGUAGCGGUGAAAUGCGCAGAUAUCAGGAAGAACACCCGUGGCGAAAGCGGCUCUCUGGAACGGUACUGACGCUGAGACGCGAAAGCGUGGGGAGCGAACAGG
rnacentral:rRNA from 1 species